GGCUAGAGAUAACAAAAUAACUUCCCCUAACCUCUAACUUGUCUUUUUCUGCCCCUUGUCUUAUGGGAAGAUGAAAGGCAUGACAAGCUCUCCUUUACCCAGGUUUAAUUCAGCUCUCCAUGUGGGAGUCUUGGUAUUACUGACUUGAUGGGAUAAAUUGGAAAAUUGUCUCCAACUUCCUAUGCAAAUCGCAAGUGGCAAUACACAAUUUGCUGAUCUCCUUUCUUGUGUCCACUAUGGCCUUCUCUAUGCAUUUGAUCACUUCGAGAAUGGUGGACUGCAAUUCUUCAUUCGACACCCCCUGCCAGAGUGGCCAGAGUGACUUGCAUUCUCUUUAGCUUUAGGACUCUCCUUAAGGCCCACCCCACCAACCUUUCCAGCUAUUUUGAUUCGCUUAACAGGAUAUGGCA
rnacentral:lncRNA from 1 species